GGCUGUAAUGGCUCAACGGCGAAGCACCUCGCACUUAUUUCGCAAUUCAUUUGCCCUCCACCACCCGACCCCGUAAGAUCCCCCCCGUCGGCGCCCAGCCCGAACGCCGCGGUGGCCGCCCGCUCGCGCAGGCAACUCGCGACGUCGGUGCGUGCCCUAAGCACUUGGAGAUGACCCUUGAGGGAGGAUUCACUCUGCAGAGACCUCUCCCCCGUCGCGUGGCGGGCUGGAUCACGACCGCGGGGGGUUUGGGUUGGAGGGGCGAGAUGGAGAAUGCAACGCCUUCUU
rnacentral:SRP_RNA from 1 species